rnacentral:rRNA from 1 species
UACAGAGGUCCCAAGCGUUGUUCGGAUUCAUUGGGCGUAAAGGGUGCGUAGGCGGCGCGGUAAGUCGGGUGUGAAAUCUCGGAGCUUAACUCCGAAACUGCAUUCGAUACUGCCGUGCUUGAGGACUGGAGAGGAGACUGGAAUUUACGGUGUAGCGGUGAAAUGCGUAGAUAUCGUAAGGAAGACCAGUGGCGGAAGGCGGGUCUCUGGACAGUUCCUGACGCUGAGGCACGAAGGCUAGGGGAGCAAACGGG